rnacentral:lncRNA from 1 species
UGUGCCUACAAAAAUGCACAUAUAAAGAUUUUAUGAAACACAUUUAAAAAAAAAAAAAGUAUGCAUCAUGUAAGAACAUACUGAACACAUCCACCUAUCUAGCUUUUGAAAUUCAUAGAUGUAAUUUCCUGUGUUGAUAUAUAAAGCGAGGAGAGCAUUCUGUCCUUACUGGAACUGGGGGGUGGGUGCAUGAACUGAUGUGGCAGCAGACAAGGCCUGCCACAAGCCGAGAGGUCCUUGACAGGAUGAACUGUUUCCUCCACAUUCUUUAACCAGUUCAUCUGAACACUGGUAUCUUGGACAUUAUUGUGCUGGGAUUUACAUGACCAAAAUGGACCAGCUUAUGCUGCUCAACUAUUUCAAGUAAGCAAUUGUGGUGACCAUGCUUUGUACGAAGUCAUUCGUUCUGUGUUCGCUAGGAAAUCUGGAGCAGCCUCCUAAAGCAUUUGUUCUCAAAUACCUGGAUUCUCCUCUCCAUAUCAGCAAGCAGUGUCCAUGUUUCACACCUGUAAAGCAGGAUUGGUACUACGAGGGACUUGUACAAAUUGUAUUUUGCAGUAAACUAGAUGUAAUGGCUGUGUCAGACUAUCCAGCUCAGUAAUUGCCGUUACUACUGUCAUGAUCCUGAUUCAUUGAAGAACUGCCAUCUUUGGAGUUGUCCUUUUAAGUUAAUCUCUUUGAGCAGUACUUUGUUCAUGUAGAGAUCUUUGCCUUUGCCAAUGACCAUAAUUUUGCUCUUGUAAGUGUUCUCCAUUCCACAUGCAUUGUCUGUUGGUAUGGUCUUGUAAUUCUCUGUUAAUGCCUGCCAUCUGAGUGAAGUCAUGCAAAUGCUUUUCUAUAUGGUUGCGACAGUUGACAAUCUGUUUCACCGUGGUUUGAAGCCAGCCUGUUCUGCUAGCAGUUGCUCAGUGGUGGUGCAGAUGUGAUUUUCUGUAUUUCAGCAUAACUGCAUGAGUGGCUGAUCACGCUUAUUGCUUUGUAGACUUUUUUUUCUUUUUGGGAAGUGGUAUGACUAAUGAUUGUGUCCAUUGCAUUCCUAGACUCUGGCACAAAACAGUGUUGUUUUAUCCCCAUCCUACUCGAGCAGCUCUACUAGGACACUGUCAACACCAGGUGACUGAACCUGCAAACCUACUAGUUCUGUGGAAAGAGCACUGUGCAGUCUGAAUCAAUGUGGUGGCCAUAUUCAUCAUAAAACUGAAGGUUUCCUGCUACAAGACCUUUACAUGUUGCCAGCUGAAAUAAUAAGGAACAAUAAUAUAAGGAUAUAUUUCAAAUAAAAUUUUAUUAUGCUCUCUCAACCUGUCUUUUGAAGCAAACACUGUCCUCAUCACAUAACCUGCUUAAGCUUGCUUUUGAUGUGUACGUUACUAAAAUAUGUUUUCUAGUUCUAAACAGGGUAAACAAAGCAGCGGGAGAGCCUUUACAUUAGACUUACCACAUGCAGUUUCCAUCUUGGAACCUCAAGCAUACAAGCAAUAUUGUCAAUCAGAUUGUCAACCACUGACUGAGAUCCAAAGAGACCUGGAUACUGGAAAGGGUAAAAUCCCCAGUUCCACCAACUACUGUUGAAUCACUGAUACCUACACGUGCUUCAAAACUCUUUCUCAUUGCUUUGGAAAUAAGUCAGAACUUCACAAAGGCAGGCUUUCUGGUUAACAUUAAGUAAACAUGGGGGAAAAAACCUAUAUAAAGAAGCAACAUUACCCGUCGUUUGUCAACAAUGUUAAGGACUGUGGUUACAGCCAUGCAGGAGAGUACAUUGGCCAAAGGAAAA